GUCCACGCCGUAACGAUGGAUACUAGCUGUUCGGAGCAAUCUGAGUGGCUAAGCGAAGUGAUAAGUAUCCCACCUGGGAGUACGUUCGCAAGAAUGAACUCAAAGGAAUUGACGGGCCCGCACAAGCGGAGGAGCAUGUGGUUUAAUUCGAUGAUACGCGAGGAACCUUACCAGGGCUUAAAUGGGAGACGACAGGACUGGAAACAGUUUUUCUUCGGACGUCUUUCAAGGUGCUGCAUGGUUGUCGU
rnacentral:rRNA from 1 species